AUGGCCUAAUGGAUAAGGCGCUUGACUUUUAAUCAAGCGAUUGUGGGUUCGAGUCACUUU
rnacentral:tRNA from 1 species